UCCAGCCCGAGGCGGUUCAGCGGUUCGCCUGCCGGGCCGCUCUUCCCCGGCCUAAAUGCCUCCUUCGGUAUCUCUUUAUGCCCAUUACAUAAGUCCAUCAUUCCAAAUUUCUGUUGUGACAAGAACUGAGGAAGAGAAAUAAAUCAACCUGAUGUUUGGUGCCAUGAAACAGAUUGCUGACUGCCUCCAGAUAAGGCCUAAAAUGUGGUCAGUUGACCUAAUUACUGCUGGAAGUGGAAGCAGCUUUUAUGCAGUGGUAAGUUCAUUUCCCUUCAAGGAAAAAGGCUUUAUUUAAGAGGAGCUCAUUAACAAUUUCAUUUCACCAAGUUUGUAGCUCAUACGGUCUUUGAGCACAUACACAAGGAGACCUCCAUGUAAAGACACGGAAACACACAAAGAUAGAAGAUGACCAUAUGAGAAUGGGUGAUGAGUGGAGUUAGGCUGUUUGCAAGUCAAGGAACAACUAGAGCUACUAGAAGUUAGAAGAGGCCAGGGAGAGUCUUGUCUCCUAGACACUUGGCGAUGGAGCGUAGUCUGCCGACAUCUUGAUUUCAGACUUCUAGCCCCUAGAACUGUGAGAAUAAAUUUCUGUUGUUUUACGCAUCUAGCUUGUGGUAUUUUGUAACAGCCAUUCUAGGAACUUAAUGAAUAUAUAACUAUAUUUUUUUUGUUAAAUAUCAAAAAUUUAGCAACAAAUCAAAGAAAAUAUAAUGUUGUUAUUGUAUGAGCUAAGCUGUUCUGUUAAUGCAUGGAUGGUAUUUGUAUACAAAUGAGAAUUACAACUUUAAUAAUUAAAAAAUUAACAUUUUUCAAGUUACAUAUUAUUACAACAUAUUUCUCUUGCCUUUAUUUUGACCAAAGUCACCUAUUAGCAAUAGUUACUGCCAUGUCCUUUAAAAAUGAUUAAAAAAUCUUUAAA